rnacentral:rRNA from 1 species
GAUGAACGCUGGCGGCGUGCCUAAUACAUGCAAGUCGAGCGAAUGGAUUAAGAGCUUGCUCUUAUGAAGUUAGCGGCGGACGGGUGAGUAACACGUGGGUAACCUGCCCAUAAGACUGGGAUAACUCCGGGAAACCGGGGCUAAUACCGGAUAACAUUUUGAACCGCAUGGUUCGAAAUUGAAAGGCGGCUUCGGCUGUCACUUAUGGAUGGACCCGCGUCGCAUUAGCUAGUUGGUGAGGUAACGGCUCACCAAGGCAACGAUGCGUAGCCGACCUGAGAGGGUGAUCGGCCACACUGGGACUGAGACACGGCCCAGACUCCUACGGGAGGCAGCAGUAGGAAAUCUUCCGCAAUGGACGAAAGUCUGACGGAGCAACGCCGCGUGAGUGAUGAAGGCUUUCGGGUCGUAAAACUCUGUUGUUAGGGAAGAACAAGUGCUAGUUGAAUAAGCAGGCACCUUGACGGUACCUAACCAGAAAGCCACGGCUAACUACGUGCCAGCCGCCGCGGUAA